rnacentral:rRNA from 1 species
UACAGAGGGGGCAAGCGUUAUUCGGAAUUAUUGGGCGUAAAGGGCGCGUAGGCGGCCUGGCAAGUGGAAGGUGAAAUCCCUCGGCUUAACCGAGGAACUGCCUCCCAAACUGCUUGGCUUGAGACCAGGAGAGGUGAGUGGAAUUCCCAGUGUAGCGGUGAAAUUCGUAGAUAUUGGGAAGAACACCGGUGGCGAAGGCGGCUUUCUGGCCUGUUCUUGACGCUGAGGCGCGAAAGCUAGGGGAGCAAACGGG